rnacentral:rRNA from 1 species
UACGGAGGGUGCAAGCGUUAUCCGGAUUCACUGGGUUUAAAGGGUGCGUAGGUGGGCUUGUAAGUCAGUGGUGAAAUCUCCGUGCUUAACAUGGAACUGCCAUUGAUACUAUAGGUCUUGAAUUAUCUGGAGGUUAGCGGAAUAUGUCAUGUAGCGGUGAAAUGCUUAGAUAUGACAUAGAACACCAAUUGCGAAGGCAGCUGGCUACAGGUACAUUGACACUGAGGCACGAAAGCGUGGGGAUCAAACAGG